rnacentral:tRNA from 1 species
UCCGGGUUAGCCAAGUCUGGUAAGGCACCUGACUCUGAAUCAGGCAUACGGUGGUUCGAAUCCAUCACCCGGAGCCA